CCUACGGGAGGCAGCAGUAGGGAAUCUUCCACAAUGGACGAAAGUCUGAUGGAGCAACGCCGCGUGAGUGAAGAAGGGUUUCGGCUCGUAAAGCUCUGUUGGUAGUGAAGAAAGAUAGAGGUAGUAACUGGCCUUUAUUUGACGGUAAUUACUUAGAAAGUCACGGCUAACUACGUGCCAGCAGCCGCGGUAAUACGUAGGUGGCAAGCGUUGUCCGGAUUUAGUGGGCGUAAAGCGAGUGCAGGCGGUUCAAUAAGUCUGAUGUGAAAGCCUUCGGCCAAACCGGAGAAUUGCAUCAGAAACUGUUGAACUGGAGUGCAGAAGAGGAGAGUGGAACUCCAUGUGUAGCGGUGGAAUGCGUAGAUAUAUGGAAGAACACCAGUGGCGAAGGCGGCUCUCUGGUCUGCAACUGACGCUGAGGCUCGAAAGCAUGGGUAGCGAACAGGAUUAGAUACCCUAGUAGUC
rnacentral:rRNA from 1 species